rnacentral:rRNA from 1 species
UACGUAAGGACCGAGCGUUGUCCGGAAUCAUUGGGCGUAAAGGGUACGUAGGCGGUUAGAAAAGUUAGAAGUGAAAGGCUAUAGCUCAACUAUAGUAAGCUUUUAAAACUGUUUAACUUGAGAGAUGGAAGGGAAAGUGGAAUUCCUAGUGUAGCGGUGAAAUGCGCAGAUAUCAGGAGGAACACCGGUGGCGAAGGCGGUGGUCUGGGCCGGCACUGACGCUGAGGAGCGAAAGCGUGGGUAGCAAACAGG